rnacentral:ribozyme from 1 species
CCUGACAUUUCUUUCCUGCUAAAAACUUGAAAACUAUCAUCAAACAACCAUGAAGCUCUUCGGUGCCGUUAUCGUCUCCUCCUGCCUUGCGGCACAA